rnacentral:rRNA from 1 species
AGUGAACGCUGGCGGUAGGCCUAACACAUGCAAGUCGAACGGCAGCGCAGUAAGAGCUUGCUCUUACGGGUGGCGAGUGGCGGACGGGUGGGGAAUACAUCGGAAUCUACUUUUUCGUGGGGGAUAACGUAGGGAAACUUACGCUAAUACCGCAUACGACCUACGGGUGAAAGCAGGGGAUCUUCGGACCUUGCGCGAUUGAAUGAGCCGAUGUCGGAUUAGCUAGUUGGCGGGGUAAAGGCCCACCAAGGCGACGAUCCGUAGCUGGUCUGAGAGGAUGAUCAGCCACACUGGAACUGAGACACGGUCCAGACUCCUACGGGAGGCAGCAGUGGGGAAUAUUGGACAAUGGGCGCAAGCCUGAUCCAGCCAUACCGCGUGGGUGAAGAAGGCCUUCGGGUUGUAAAGCCCUUUUGUUGGGAAAGAAAAGCAGCAGGUUAAUACCCCGCUGUUCUGACGGUACCCAAAGAAUAAGCACCGGCUAACUUCGUG